ensembl:rRNA 5S_rRNA 5S ribosomal RNA
AGCCACAGUCAUAUCACCCUGCAGCCCAACACCGGUUACUUACUAAAGCUAAGCAGGGCUGAGCCUGGCCAGUACCUGUAUGGGAGACCACUAGGGAACACUAGGUUGCUGUUGGAA